GAGCCGCUAGCUCAGUUGGUAGAGCAACGCCCUUUUAAGGCGUGGGCCCCGCGUUCGAGUCGCGGGCGGCUCACCA
rnacentral:tRNA from 1 species